rnacentral:rRNA from 1 species
AUUGAACGCUGGCGGCAGGCCUAACACAUGCAAGUCGAGCGAGCGGCGGACGGGUGAGUAAUGUAUGGGGACUGCCCGAUAGAGGGGGAUAACUACUGGAAACGGUGGCUAAUACCGCAUACUAUCGGAUACCCCAUAUGGGAUUAGCUAGUAGGUGGGGUAAAGGCUCACCUAGGCGACGAUCACUAGCUGGUCUGAGAGGAUGAUCAGCCACACUGGGACUGAGACACGGCCCAGACUCCUACGGAGGCAGCAGUGGGGAAUCUUGGACAAUGGACGAAAGCCUGACCGAGCAACGCCGCGUGUAUGAAGAAGGUUUUCGGGUCGUAAAACACUUUUGUUGGGGAGGCGGUACCUAAAGAGUAAGCCACGGCUAACUACGUGCCAGCAGCCGCGGUAAUUC